UAGUCACGCGUAAACGAUGAGUGCUAAGUGUUGGAGGUUUCCCCUUCAGUGCUGCAGCUAACGCAUUAAGCACUCCGCUGGGGAGUACGACCGCAAGGUUGAAACUCAAAGGAAUUGACGGGGGCCCGCACAAGCGGUGGAGCAUGUGGUUUAAUUCGAAGCAACGCGAAGAACCUUACCAGGUCUUGACAUCCUUUGACCACUCUAGAGAUAGAGCUUUCCCUUCGGGGACAAAGUGACAGGUGGUGCAUGGUUGUCGUCAGCUCGUGUCGUGAGAUGUUGGGUUAAGUCCCGCAACGAGCGCAACCCUUAUUGUUAGUUGCCAUCAUUCAGUUGGGCACUCUAGCGAGACUGCCGGUGACAAACCGGAGGAAGGUGGGGAUGACGUCAAAUCAUCAUGCCCCUUAUGACCUGGGCUACACACGUGCUACAAUGGGAAGUACAACGAGUCGCUAGGCCGCGAGGUCAUGCAAAUCUCUUAAAGCUUCUCUCAGUUCGGAUUGCAGGCUGCAACUCGCCUGCAUGAAGCCGGAAUCGCUAGUAAUCGCGGAUCAGCACGCCGCGGUGAAUACGUUCCCGGGCCUUGUACACACCGCCCGUCACACCACGAAAGUUUGUAACACCCGAAGUCGGUGAGGUAACCUUUUGGAGCCAGCCGCCUAAGGUGGGAUAGAUGAUUGGGGUGAAGUCGUAACAAGGUAACCAAGGGCGAAUUCCAG
rnacentral:rRNA from 1 species